GGCGCUCGGACCGCGACCCC
rnacentral:rRNA from 1 species